GAAAGGCCAAUCAAACUCGGAAAUAGCUGGUUCUCCGCGAAAUCUAUUUAGGUAGAGCGUCUGACGAAUACCCCCGGGGGUAGAGCACUGGAUGGGCUAUGGGGACUCACCGUCUUACUGAUCCUAACCAAACUCCGAAUACCGGGGAGUACUAUCAGGCAGACACACGGCGGGUGCUAACGUCCGUCGUGAAAAGGGCAACAACCCUAACCUCCAGCUAAGGUCCCCAAGUCAUGGCUAAGUGGGAAAGGAUGUGAGGAUCCCAAAACAACCAGGAUGUUGGCUUAGAAGCAGCCAUCAUUUAAAGAAAGCGUAACAGCUCACUGGUCUAAAUAAGGGUCUUUGCGCCGAAAAUGUAACGGGGCUGAAGCCAUGCACCGAAGCUGAGGAUGUGUAGCAAUACACGUGGUAGCGGAGCGUUCCGUAAGCCUGUGAAGGGACAGCCGUGAGGCAUCCUGGAGGUAUCGGAAGUGCGAAUGUUGACAUGAGUAACGAUAAAGAGGGUGAGAGACCCUCUCGCCGAAAGACCAAGGGUUCCUGCUUAAAGUUAAUCUGAGCAGGGUUAGCCGGCCCCUAAGACGAGGCGGACACGCGUAGUCGAUGGGAACCACGUUAAUAUUCGUGGGCCUGGUGGUAGUGACGGAUUGCUCAACUUGUAAGGUCUUAUUGGAUUGAUCUUGCAGGGACGCGGUUCCAGGAAAUAGCUCCACCGUAUAGACCGUACCCGAAACCGACACAGGUGGUCAGGUAGAGUAUACCAAGGCGCUUGAGAGAACUAUGUUGAAGGAACUCGGCAAAUUGCACGCGUAACUUCGGAAGAAGCGUGACCCCUUCAUGGGCAACCAUGGUGGGGUGGCACAGACCAGGGGGUAGCGACUGUUUAUCAAAAACACAGGGCUCUGCGAAGUCGCAAGACGACGUAUAGGGUCUGACGCCUGCCCGGUGCUGGAAGGUUAAGAGGAGAGGUGCAAGCUUUGAAUCGAAGCCCCAGUAAACGGCGGCCGUAACUAUAACGGUCCUAAGGUAGCGAAAUUCCUUGUCGGGUAAGUUCCGACCUGCACGAAUGGCGUAACGACUUCCC
rnacentral:rRNA from 1 species